GGUAUUCUUCCGGGAAAUAUUAAAUGAUAUACAAAGUGAACUUUGUUGUUCUUGAUUUGAAGUCUUUUCGUCGAAUUUCAAAGCAAAAAUUAUUUCCCUUUGACUUUGAUUUAUUGACGUUUGAAUUCGUACAGAGUAAUUUGCGGUGUAUUUGUUUUAAAAAACACACACUAGAUACCGCUACUGCUUGCUUGCUGAUUGUGAUUGUAAUCAUGUAAUGGCGACUUUUGCCUUUUGGAGUUUUGGUUAUAAUUAAAUGUAGCUACUGCAAGUUUCACCCGCAAUUUUAAAUUAGUUAUAUUAGCUUUUGGAAACACGAAAGGAAACAGUAGCCAAAAGGGAAAAGAAGUUCACCAUCAACUCUUUCAUAAAAUAUCGUCGUUCUGCUGAAUAGCAACAUCCACAACAGUACCCCAGCAUGGACAUAAAUUUUUUUUUCCGAGUAUGUUUUUCUACAAUUAAGCAUGGGCAGACAAAAAGCCUCAAAAAACGACAAGAGUAAUCUUCAGGUUUAUUGCAGCUACUUAGAAGAAGUCAUGUGAAAAGAUGCAUUGCAGGGCACUUACUCAACAUAUGUUCAAAACUGCUGCUGCUGCCUACAGCCAGGGGCAGGAAAAUUGCUCUCUUUCUUCAAAUAAUUGAAAGGGUGCUGCAGUCAUCUAGUCUUCAUCCUCCCUCGACUCAUUUCGUCUUCUGGAUCGCUUAGUAAAGCUGACUGGUGUUAUCAAUCCAUUUAGAUAACGACCUAGAGGAGACCGCCUACAGACUGUGAACAUCACAUGGGAUCAGACGUCAGCAUCUCUACGAAUUAAUGGCGGUGACGUGACUCCACGGGUGACAUCAAACAUGUUCUACGUGGAUCAUCAUUUAUUGUUGGUAAUAUGUUUUGUGUUAGUUAACCCGUUGGCUGCCACGCCUUUGUUCCCCCAUGUUAGCUCUGUAGCACGGGCCCGCGCUGUUCGGUCUCGUGGUUUACAUGCCGCGGGGUCGGACAGUUGCACCAGCCCCAGAUUUGGCCGAAAGGCCCUGUUAGGCAAUGCACCAU